GAUGAACGCUAGCGACAGGCCUAACACAUGCAAGUCGAGGGGCAGCGCAGAGCAAGCUUGCUUGCUUUGGCGGCGACCGGCGCACGGGUGCGUAACAGGUGUGCAAUCUGUCCAUAAUCGGGGAAUAGCCCAGCGAAAGUUGGAUUAAUGCUCCAUGUGAGCAGAGGAGGCAUCUCCUUUGUUUGAAACGUAAGGAUUAUGGGUGAGCACGCUUCUGAUUAGGUAGUUGGUGAGGUAACGGCUCACCAAGCUGACGAUCAGUAGGGGUUCUGAGAGGAAGGUCCCCCACAUUGGAACUGAGACACGGUCCAAACUCCUACGGGAGGCAGCAGUGAGGAAUAUUGGUCAAUGGACGGAAGUCUGAACCAGCCAAGUCGCGUGAAGGAUGAAGGUUCUAUGGAUUGUAAACUUCUUUGUCUGAGGGUAAAAAGCGGACGUGUCCGUUCUUGCAAGUAUCAGACGAAUAAGCAUCGGCUAACUCCG
rnacentral:rRNA from 1 species